rnacentral:rRNA from 1 species
GAUGAACGCUGGCGGCGUGCCUAAUACAUGCAAGUCGAGCGAACAGACGAGGAGCUUGCUCCUCUGACGUUAGCGGCGGACGGGUGAGUAACACGUGGAUAACCUACCUAUAAGACUGGGAUAACUUCGGGAAACCGGAGCUAAUACCGGAUAAUAUAUUGAACCGCAUGGUUCAAUAGUGAAAGACGGUUUUGCUGUCACUUAUAGAUGGAUCCGCGCCGCAUUAGCUAGUUGGUAAGGUAACGGCUUACUAAGGCAACGAUGCGUAGCCGACCUGAGAGGGGGAUCGGCCACACGGGAACGUGAGCGCGGUCCAGACGCCUACGGGAGGGAGCAGGAGGGAAUCUUCCGCAAUGGGCGAAAGCCUGACGGAACAACGGCGCGUGAGUGAUGAAGGUCUUCCGAUCGGAAAAAUGUGUUUUUAGGGAAGAACAAAUGUGUAAGUAACUAUGCACGUCUUGACGGUACCUAAUCAGAAAGCCACGGCUAACUACGUG